CAUUGGUUGGUGGUUUAGUCCCUGGGAGC
rnacentral:piRNA from 1 species